rnacentral:rRNA from 1 species
AUUGAACGCUGGCGGCAGGCCUAACACAUGCAAGUCGAACGGUAACAGGAAGCAGCUUGCUGCUUUGCUGACGAGUGGCGGACGGGUGAGUAAUGUCUGGGAAACUGCCUGAUGGAGGGGGAUAACUACUGGAAACGGUAGCUAAUACCGCAUAACGUCGCAAGACCAAAGAGGGAGACCUUCGGGCCUCUUGCCAUCGGAUGUGCCCAGAUGGGAUUAGCUAGUAGGUGGGGUAACGGCUCACCUAGGCGACGAUCCCUAGCUGGUCUGAGAGGAUGACCAGCCACACUGGAACUGAGACACGGUCCAGACUCCUACGGGAGGCAGCAGUGGGGAAUAUUGCACAAUGGGCGCAAGCCUGAUGCAGCCAUGCCGCGUGUAUGAAGAAGGCCUUCGGGUUGUAAAGUACUUUCAGCGGGGAGGAAGGGAGUAAAGUUAAUACCUUUGCUCAUUGACGUUACCCGCAGAAGAAGCACCGGCUAACUCCGUG